rnacentral:rRNA from 1 species
AUUGAACGCUGGCGGCAGGCCUAACACAUGCAAGUCGAACGGAGUGGCGGCCGGGUGAGUAAUGUCGGGGAAACUGCCCGAUGGAGGGGGAUAACUACUGGAAACGGUAGCUAAUACCGCAUACCAUCGGAUGUGCCUAGGUCGGAUUAGCUAGUUGGUGGGUUAACGGCCUACCAAGGCGACGAUCCGUAACUGGUCUGAGAGGAUGAUCAGUCACACUGGAACUGAGACACGGUCCAGACUCCUACGGGAGGCAGCAGUGGGGAAUAUUGGACAAUGGGCGAAAUCCUGAUCCAGCCAUGCCGCGUGUGUGAAGAAGGUCUUCGGAUUGUAAAGCACUGUAAGUUGGGAGGCGUUACCAACAGAAUAAGCACCGGCUAACUCCGUGCCAGCAGCCGCGGUAAUAC